rnacentral:rRNA from 1 species
CAGUCGCCACGGUAAUACGUAGGUGGCAAGCGUUGUCCGGAUUUAUUGGGCGUAAAGCGAGCGCAGGCGGUCAAUUAAGUCUGAUGUGAAAGCCCCCGGCUCAACCGGGGAGGGUCAUUGGAAACUGGUUGACUUGAGUGCAGAAGAGGAGAGUGGAAUUCCAUGUGUAGCGGUGAAAUGCGUAGAUAUAUGGAGGAACACCGGUGGCGAAGGCGACUCUCUGGCCUGUAACUGACGCUGAGGCUCGAAAGCGUGGGUAGCAAACAGGAUUAGAUACCCGAGUAGUCCCUGUCUCUUAUAC